UACGAAGGGGGCUAGCGUUGCUCGGAAUUACUGGGCGUAAAGCGCACGUAGGCGGGUCGCUAAGUCGGGGGUGAAAUCCUGGAGCUCAACUCCAGAACUGCCUUCGAAACUGACGAUCUUGAGUUCGGGAGAGGUGAGUGGAACCGCGAGUGUAGAGGUGAAAUUCGUAGAUAUUCGCAAGAACACCAGUGGCGAAGGCGGCUCACUGGCCCGAUACUGACGCUGAGGUGCGAAAGCGUGGGGAGCGAACAGG
rnacentral:rRNA from 1 species